ensembl:lncRNA
CAACACGUUGCUCCAUACGGCCUCUGUUGUAUUGACUAAAAGAAAAGGCUGGACUUCUCUCCUGCUGAUGGCCCUGUCUGCAUGUGUGUGUGUGUGUGUGUGUGUGUGUGUGUGUGUGUGUGUGUGUGUUGCUAGCUCUCCGUUCUGCUCUUUCAGGUGUAACAACACUGGGAGAGUCAUGAAAUAUCAAACGUCAAAAGCAGUGAAAAAACACUUUAAUGCGUUGAUUUCCCAGAUAUUGCGUGUUUCCUUAAAGAUGCAAUGCAUUUAUUUAUAAUUUAUAGCAUAUCAUUGUCAUUGAGGAACGUUUUGGUGUAUCAUGUUUUUUUUUGUCAUAUGGACAAAUUAGCAGGAUCAUUAAAAACCAGUUGGAGGGCAUUGCAAAGUUAAAAGGGGACUUGGCGAAAGCAAUUUGGCUACCUUAGACUAAACCCAACGAUGGCUCUUUAAGAAAGAUAGAAACUGUCCGUGUUGGCAAACUUGUGAAUGGGUGAAUCAACCCCGCGCACCGCAAAUGACUAUAAUGAAGCUGGAUGACGGCUACCAGAUGAGACAAAAGCAGCCUUGAUCCGGCUCACACUGCUGCCUCUUGAAGCUGGUGAAUGCACGUGAAGGCCGAAGGGUCCGUGGCAGUGAGCGUUUGUUCCUGACAGCAUGGAACGCGCUCACCACCAGGGGGGAGCAACAGACACGCCAACGCCGCGACCACGUCAGUGUGGGGUCACUGGCGGCGAGUCCCCCCAGCUUCUGAAGGUCGAGGGAUACAGAAAUCCACAGUUGUUUGCAAAUAGUUUUUGUUUUGAUAUAAUGCAGCUUCGGUUUGGACGAUUGCAAAGGACCACACACCUCGUUUUAGGCAAAGACAACAUGAGAAAAGCACGAGGACCAUUCAAAAUGUAACGUUCGGACACAUUUUCUCAAUCCAUUCUAUGAGAAAGGUGAACGUGUCACAGUGUAGUGUGAAAACAACAAACUAAUCUGGGCACUGAGUGCUUCCUUCAAGUGGAGCGACCGUGAAAGAGAAACUUACUAAACUGGUUGGACGAGCCUGGCGAGGACACGACUAGUAUUUCACCUUUAAUCGUUUUUUGGGAACACAGCUGUGAUACAUAUGUGGAAGCACAAAACAGCUAUUCUGGGCCUCAUUCAACACUAAAUCCCUCCCCACUUUGAUAACAUCGCAUAAGACAUUUCACACAUUUAUAGUAUAUAAAGUUUAUAAAGUAACCGCCACAUGUGCUGUUGUGUGCAUGCUACAUUAUAUACUGGUAGGAUGUAUAUAACGUGUGCAAGGCCCGGUUAUUCAAGACAAAAAAGGUAAAAGUGAAGAUGUCCAGGAUGGACCCGGCCUCAACAGAAUAACCUCCAGACAUAAAUACAGCUCUUUUUCACUUAGAUUGUCCAAAAACGUUUGACGCUUCCAUUCUUUCCAUGUGGGUUCGAAGGUAGAGAGCAACAUAGAGAGCCGUCUCCUUUUACUCCUUUGUUACUAUUGUGGUCGAAUCCUCCGGUGUUUCUCCGCUCCCUGAAAGCACACAAAGGCAUCACAGAUGACUUUAUUCAGUUGUAAAUAUGGGGUCGGUGCAUUCAGCGGCUUGUAGAAAGUCGGCUUACAGAAGCACUUCUGCAGCCUCUCAGAUCUCUGCAGCAUGACGUACAGUAAGCCGAAGACCAACAACGUGCCAAAGAAGCCGCCAAUGAUACAACCAAUGAGAAUGGCGUGGCUGGUGCCGUUAUCUAGGGGUGAGGAUGAUAGUUAGAUAUACACUUUAUUAAUCCCCAAGGGGAAAUUAUUGUGCAAUAGCAGCAGUACAGUAAAUAAAGUGAGAAAUGAAAAAUGUAUACACAGCACAGUAGAAUAAAAUAAAAGAGCAGAACAUAUUAAAUUAAGAGAGAGGAGUAUGUACAGUGGGGUGGGAUAUGUAUUAAAUUAAAUUUGAAAAUUAAAUGAAGACAGUAGUGUUGUUGUUCAAAUAAACGAGGAUUUAGAGGUGUUUUGUUGUAAAGUCUUAUUGCAGUUAGCAGGAAUGUUUUCCUGUAUCUGGUCGGAUGGUCAGUAUCACUACUUGUCAUCUUUAAUGGCAUGUUGAACUAAGGAAAUACAAAUGACCUGUCUGUAUUUAUGCUGUGACAGACAGAAAUGCAGAUGUUAAAUUGAAUCGGAGGAAUCUUUACCGUAGACGUGCAGCACGGCAGCAGCGCUAUUAGGAUUCUUUGGCUGCUGACAGGAGACCUGUGUCCCGUUGUCGGAGAAAGAAGUUCCCUUUAGGGUCCACACAGCUGAUGACUCUCCAUUUCUCACCUCACAACUUCCAUAGAGAGCCUGAAGGGAGAGACGGGGAUGAAGAGGCUUUCAGAUAAGAAAUGAGAAGGGAUUGAAAACAACUGAACCUGACGUGAGCUGUGAGAAGCUCCCACUGGUAGAAACGUUAAAUAAUCAAAAUCAAAAGCAGCUUUUCAAGCACGACUCUGAGAGAUGUUGCUCUCUCCCUCCGCUUUGUGUGACAUCCAGCUAGUGUCACUGAGGGGGGAGGAAAGAAGAAGAUGAGGGUGAAGCGAGGCCUUAGAGGGAAUACAGAAUUAGACGCCGGGGCCAGCUUACCUGGGGAACGUCUUCCACGUGGCCCGAGGGGCACGUGAGGAGGUAGUUUCCGUGCGCCCCCCGCAAGGUGAAUGUGAAGUCUGGAGAAGCUUCGGGAACUCCACAGCGAAACACGGCCGGUUCUCCAACAGCCACUGUGACGUCGGCUGGGUGAGUGCGGAAACCGUCAGCGGCUGACGUGGUGAUGUUUUGAGCUGAAAGCAAGAUAACGUGUGGAGGACGUGUGUGUGUGUGUGUGUGUGUGUGUGUGUGUGAGAGAGUUUGAGAAAGAGAGAAGUACGAAAGAUCAAAGUGUGGAAAAUAAUAUAAUAAUAAUAACAUUUAAGGCAUUUUUAUAAUCUGUUUUAAAUCACUUUCCAUUUAUUCAAAUAGAAAAAAAGAAUCACACGAGGAAACAACAUAUGUGUAUGUGCAUGUUUUCAGUUCAACUCUAAUGUGAGUAAGUAGAACUUCACUAAGUGAUCUGGAAUCCCUGGAUGUGUUUCGUUACCUGAAGAGGGCGCAGCGAGUUGGAGAAGAGUCAGCAGGUGAAAGCAGAGAAGAAAACUCUUACUUUUCUUUCUCAUCUCUUCUUUUACCAUCAACUCCAUUAUUUUCUCCACUUAGUGUCUCUUAUUCUGUAAACAUUGAAACAUAUUACUUUUCUUUUCCACCCACACCAGAGUAACACACUAAGCGUGUAGUAAAAGAUUGCUUGUGUUUUCCUUCAGAUUACAUGUGAUGUGAAUGACUUUGAAAGUUAAUUCAAUGUAUUGUUACACGCACAUUUAAUGUGAAAAAGCUGCCAAUGUUUCAGGACACAUCCAAAUGUUAUCACUUGUAUUUUGUUUAUUGAGCACUUGGCAUCCACAGAUGUUAUAAAUCAAUGUUUUUCUCAAUCAAGUUUCUGUCACCCAUCUUGACUAUUUUGACAAAUAAAAUAAAAUGGGAUUAGUAUCUUGAAAUGUAAAGAAAUAGAUUAUUGACACUGACCGAGGAUGUGAACUGGAAAUCCCCACAGAAAGUCUGCAGCCUGCAGACAGCUUAUUUAUUUGAAGAAUAUGACGCAGCUCGAAAUGAAUUCUCAGAAGAAAACGUAUCCAAAUACAUACAUCUACUGCCUCAAUAAAGAAAAAAGAAUUGUCCGACUCACUCGACACCUCUGUGCGACUCGCUCCAUUAUCCCACUCCAACUAAGGGGGAAGGUGGCACCAUCAAGUUAUGACAAAAAUGAGCAGAUUCAGUAGAUGGACUUCUGCGAACUAGAAACAGGUCUAGCAGGCCCGGCCAAGAAUAGCAGCCGGC